CGGCGAGUGAAGCGGCAAUAGCUCAAAUUUGAAAGCUGGCGUCUUCGACGUCCGCGUUGUAAUUUGUAGAGGAUGCUUCGGCGAGGACUCCUGCCUAAGUCCCCUGGAACGGGGCGUCACAGAGGGUGAGAAUCCCGUAUGUGGCGGGCGGUCCAAGCCAUGUGAAGCUCCUUCGACGAGUCGAGUUGUUUGGGAAUGCAGCUCUAAAUGGGAGGUAAAUUUCUUCUAAAGCUAAAUAUUGGCCAGAGACCGAUAGCGCACAAGUAGAGUGAUCGAAAGAUGAAAAGCACUUUGGAAAGAGAGUUAAAAAGUACGUGAAAUUGUUGAAAGGGAAGCGCUUGCAACCAGACUCGCUCGCAGUUGCUCAGCCGGCCUCUUGGCCGGUGUACUCUUCUGCGAUCGGGCCAGCAUCAGUUCGGGCGGCCGGAUAAAGGUGUCGGGAAUGUAGCACCCUUCGGGGUGUGUUAUAGCCCGGCGCGGAAUGCGGCCAGCCUGGACUGAGGAUCUCGCUUCGGCAAGGAUGCUGGCGUAAUGGUUGUAAGCGGCCCGUCUUGAAACACGGACCAAGGAGUCUAACAUCUAUGCGAGUGUUUGGGUGUCAAACCCAUGCGCGUAAUGAAAGUGAACGGAGGUGGGAACCCCUCACGGGGUGCACCAUCGACCGAUCCUGAUGUCUUCGGAUGGAUUUGAGUAAGAGCAUAGCUGUUGGGACCCGAAAGAUGGUGAACUAUGCCUGAAUAGGGUGAAGCCAGAGGAAACUCUG
rnacentral:rRNA from 1 species